rnacentral:misc_RNA from 1 species
GAUGAAGAACGCAGUGAAAUGCGAUAAGUACUGUGAAUUGCAGAAUUCAGUGAAUCAUCGAAUCUUUGAACGCACAUUGCGCCCGCCAGUAUUCUGGCGGGCAUGCCUGUUCGAGCGUCAUUACAACCCUCAGGCCCCCGGGCCUGGCGUUGGGGAUCGGCGGAGCCCCCCGUGGGCACACGCCGUCCCCCAAAUACAGUGGCGGUCCCGCCGCAGCUUCCAUCGCGUAGUAGCUAACACCUCGCGACUGGAGAGCGGCGCGGCCACGCCGUAAAACACCCAACUCUUCUGAAGUUGACCUCGAAUCAGGUAGGAAUACCCGCUGAACUUAAGCAUAUCAAUAAGCGGAGGA